AGCAUGUGGUUUAAUUCGAUGCAACGCGAAGAACCUUACCUGGUCUUGACAUCCACAGAACUUGGCAGAGAUGCCUUGGUGCCUUCGGGAACUGUGAGACAGGUGCUGCAUGGCUGUCGUCAGCUCGUGUUGUGAAAUGUUGGGUUAAGUCCCGCAACGAGCGCAACCCUUAUCCUUUGUUGCCAGCGGUCCGGCCGGGAACUCAAAGGAGACUGCCAGUGAUAAACUGGAGGAAGGUGGGGAUGACGUCAAGUCAUCAUGGCCCUUACGACCAGGGCUACACACGUGCUACAAUGGCAUAUACAAAGAGAAGCGACCUCGCGAGAGCAAGCGGACCUCAUAAAGUAUGUCGUAGUCCGGAUUGGAGUCUGCAACUCGACUCCAUGAAGUCGGAAUCGCUAGUAAUCGUGGAUCAGAAUGCCACGGUGAAUACGUUCCCGGGCCUU
rnacentral:rRNA from 1 species